rnacentral:rRNA from 1 species
GACGAACGCCGGCGGCGUGCUUAACACAUGCAAGUCGAACGGAAAGGCCCUGCUUUUGUGGGGUGCUCGAGUGGCGAACGGGUGAGUAACACGUGAGUAACCUGCCCUUGACUUUGGGAUAACUUCAGGAAACUGGGGCUAAUACCGGAUAGGAGCUCCUGCUGCAUGGUGGGGGUUGGAAAGUUUCGGCGGUUGGGGAUGGACUCGCGGCUUAUCAGCUUGUUGGUGGGGUAGUGGCUUACCAAGGCUUUGACGGGUAGCCGGCCUGAGAGGGUGACCGGCCACAUUGGGACUGAGAUACGGCCCAGACUCCUACGGGAGGCAGAAGUGGGGAAUAUUGCACAAUGGGCGGAAGCCUGAUGCAGCAACGCCGCGUGCGGGAUGACGGCCUUCGGGUUGUAAACCGCUUUCGCCUGUGACGAAGCGUGAGUGACGGUAAUGGGUAAAGAAGCACCGGCUAAGUACGUG